GGAGGAAAGAACCACAGGGAUUGCCUCAGUAACGGCGAGUGAAGCGGCAACAGCUCAAAUUUGAAAGCUGCCAACAGGCCGCGUUGUAAUUUGUAGAAGAUGCUUUGGGUGUCGGCCCAGUCUAAGUUCCUUGGAACAGGACGUCAUAGAGGGUGAGAAUCCCGUACGUGAUUGGUGCCGGUGCCCGUGUAAAGCUCUUUCGACGAGUCGAGUUGUUUGGGAAUGCAGCUCAAAAUGGGUGGUAAAUUUCAUCUAAAGCUAAAUAUUGGCCAGAGACCGAUAGCGCACAAGUAGAGUGAUCGAAAGAUGAAAAGCACUUUGGAAAGAGAGUUAAACAGUACGUGAAAUUGUUGAAAGGGAAGCGCUUGCAACCAGACUUGCGGGCGGUCGAUCAUCCGAGGUUCUCCCCGGUGCACUCGAUCGUUCUCAGGCCAGCAUCGGUUUCGGUGGUGGGAUAAAGGCUGUGGGAAUGUGGCCCUUCGGGGUGUUAUAGCCCACGGUGCAAUGCCGCCUACCGGGACCGAGGACCGCGCUUCGGCUAGGAUGCUGGCGUAAUGGUUGUAAGCGACCCGUCUUGAAACACGGACCAAGGAGUCUAACAUCUAUGCGAGUGUUUGGGUGUCAAACCCAUACGCGUAAUGAAAGUGAACGGAGGUAAGAGCCCUUUAGGGUGCAUUAUCGACCGAUCCUGAUGUCUUCGGAUGGAUUUGAGUAAGAGCAUAGCUGUUGGGACCCGAAAGAUGGUGAACUAUGCGUGAAUAGGGUGAAGCCAGAGGAAACUCUGGUGGAGGCUCGCAGCGGUUCUGACGU
rnacentral:rRNA from 1 species